GGGGGUGCCGGCGAGACAACCUGGAUCGGAGAAGGCUAAAGCGGUUCACCCGCCAUGCUAACCCCGAGCAGAGCUUUCGUAGAGCGAUCUGCGAUCAUAGCCUGUGUAGAGCACGCAAAGGUGUCGGCCAGCUCUUGUAGUUGGCUUGAGGUACGUGCCGUUCCUACUCGAAAGAGUAGCUACUAGCAGUAGCGCCCAUCUCGCGAUGGCUAGUAGGUCGAGAAUGAAAUAUUGAGCCCGAUGACCAUCGCGCGCCCUCCCAACGAGUCUGAGACGCUCUAAAUUUCAUUCUACGAUUACCACGUAGGCCAGCAGCCGCGGUAAUUCCAGCUCCAAUAGCGUAUAUUAAAGUUGUUGCAGUUAAAAAGCUCGUAGUUGAACCUUGGGCCUGGCUGGCCGGUCCGCCUCACCGCGUGUACUGGUCCGGCCGGGCCUUUCCUUCUGGUGAGCCUCAUGCCCUUCACUGGGUGUGUUGGGGAACCAGGACUUUUACUGUGAACAAAUUAGAGUGUUCAAAGCAGGCCUUUGCUCGAAUACAUUAGCAUGGAAUAAUAGAAUAGGACGUGCGGUCCUAUUUUGUUGGUUUCUAGGACCGCCGUAAUGAUUAAUAGGGAUAGUCGGGGGCAUCAGUAUUCAAUUGUCAGAGGUGAAAUUCUUGGAUUUAUUGAAGACUAACUACUGCGAAAGCAUUUGCCAAGGAUGUUUUCAUUAAUCAGUGAACGAAAGUUAGGGGAUCGAAGACGAUCAGAUACCGUCGUAGUCUUAACCGUAAACUAUGCCGACUAGGGAUCGGGCGAUGUUUCUAUCUUGACUCGCUCGGCACCUUACGAGAAAUCAAAGUUUUUGGGUUCUGGGGGGAGUAUGGUCGCAAGG
rnacentral:rRNA from 1 species